GUCUGUUUUGUCAUUUUAGCAUGCAUAUUAUAGCAGAACAGUGGUGCUAAGGCUACUUGAAAAAAAAUACAAAUCUUUGAUUAUUGCAUCUGUUGAGCAGUGUGUUUCCUAUCUUGAAACUUGUGAAUCAGUGGUUGAUAAAACAGGCAGGUUUAAUUCUUCCUCUACAUUGCAUAAUGGUAAUAAACAGAAGAAUUUUUACACUGGAAAAGAAUUGCAGUAUAUAUAUUUUGUUCAUUCCCUGAGCCUCUUAGGAAGAUUGUUGAUAUAUAAACAAGGCAGAAGACUUUUUCCUAUUCAGCUGAAAAACAGAAAAGAUUUGAUGUCCUUGACAGACCUUGUCGUAAUGUUUACUCGUCUUAUCUAUUGCGCCCCAAAUUGUCCAAAGACUCUUACAGUGCAUUCAGGCAAUUAUUCUCCAGCAGGCCUUAUUACUGAUGUGCUCGGAAUUCUUUGUGAGAGAAAAGAAUGUGCAACUGAAUGUCUAUAUACUAAUACAGUGAUAGAAGCACUUCUUCAGCCAAUACAUUAUUUACUGAAUGGAACAGAGGUGCAUCUAAAUUCUCCUGAAACAACUCUAAUACAUAUAGCCGAUAUUUUGGCAAGGAUUGCUGCUGCAGAUGAUGGUCUUUCACUCCUACUCUAUGGAGGAGAGAAGCCCUCUGCCAUGGAGGGUGGUAGCCUUAGGGGUGCACAUACUAUCGUUCAGUUUACAAAGAAGCUUCUUGAUGAAGACAUUUCUGUUCUUUCUGGGUCUGAGAUGUUGCCAGUGCUCAAAGGUGCUUUCAUCUUUGUAUGCCACCAGAUGUAUAGUACUUGCGAAGGCUUAGAGGUGUUGCUACCUUACCAUUUACAUGGAUCUAUUUCUGAGGCUUGGAAAAAGACUAGUUUGCUUUCGGAGAGAAUUCCAACGCCUGUCGCGGGGGCAGAUUGUGUAUCAUCAGCAAGUCAAGAAUCACAGAGCUUAUUUUUUGUACGUCAGGAUCAUCUUCAGGUGCCCUUCUCAAUGUACCCCCACAAUUUCAGGUUAGGCAUAUGACUUCUA